GAUGAACGCUAGCGGGAGGCUUAAUACAUGCAAGUCGAACGGUAACAGGUCCUUCGGGAUGCUGACGAGUGGCGCACGGGUGCGUAACACGUACGCGACCUACCUUCAAGAGGGGGAUAGCCCUGGGAAACUGGGAUUAAUACCGCAUAGUAUUAUUAGGUUGCAUGACUUAAUAAUUAAAACUUAGGUGCUUGAAGAUGGGCGUGCGUUCCAUUAGGUAGAUGGUUGAGGUAACGGCUCACCAUGCCAACGAUGGAUAGCGGGUCUGAGAGGAUGAUCCGCCACACGGGCACUGAGACACGGGCCCGACUCCUACGGGAGGCAGCAGUAAGGAAUAUUGGACAAUGGGGGCAACCCUGAUCCAGCCAUCCCGCGUGCAGGAAGAAUGUCCUAUGGAUUGUAAACUGCUUUUAUCAGAGACGAACGGUCGUGAUUCAUCACGGAAAUGACGGUAUCUGAUGAAUAAGCACCGGCUAACUCCG
rnacentral:rRNA from 1 species